UGGAGCUGUUGUCACUCCACU
rnacentral:miRNA from 1 species